ensembl:snoRNA
UGGACCAAUGAUGUAAAGGGAAUGCAUCUGAAUAAAAAUUAUGAUCAGUCAUGUUUGAACCACUGAGGUCCAC